rnacentral:lncRNA from 1 species
GACAAUUGUUGCAUUAGGUAUAGAAUUUAGGGAAGUAUUAAAUUGUUUCCAUACUAUCUUAUAAGAAUUUACAUACAUGUAACUACAUGAACUAUGAAAGGUAAUUUACUAAUAAUUCAAUAAAACUAGUUAGUCAAUCUAAGAAACAAUUUCUGACAAAUGAAAAUAUUAUUAUGUUUAUCAAAUGGCCAAGUACAUUUGUAAUCUUCUUGAUUGUCUUCAAUACUGAUGACCUUUUAAUACAGAAGUAAUUUUAGACUUCUUCUUCGCUGAUGAGAAAGCCUUGC